UACGAAGGGGGCUAGCGUUGCUCGGAAUCACUGGGCGUAAAGGGCGCGUAGGCGGUCGAUCAAGUCGAGUGUGAAAGCCCCCGGCUCAACUGGGGAGGGUCAUUCGAAACUGGUCGACUCGAAGGCAGGAGAGGGUAGUGGAAUUCCCGGUGUAGUGGUGAGAUGCGUAGAUAUCUGGGAGGAACACCGGUGGCGGAAGGCGG
rnacentral:rRNA from 1 species